AACCAUUCUCACCUGCGGCUAGACCUGCGGAGGGAUCAUUACCGAGUUUACAACUCCCAAACCCCUGUGAACAUACCUAUAUGUUGCCUCGGCGGAUCAGCCCGCGCCCCGUAAAACGGGACGGCCCGCCGCAGGAUCCACAAACUCUGUUUUUAUUGUAACUUCUGAGUAACAAAACAAAUAAAUCAAAACUUUCAACAACGGAUCU
rnacentral:misc_RNA from 1 species